UACAGAGGGUGCUAGCGUUGUUCGGAAUUAUUGGGCGUAAAGCGCGUGUAGGCGGCCUUGCAAGUUGGGUGUGAAAGCCGUCGGCUUAACCGAGGAAGUGCGCCCAAAACUGCUCGGCUUGAGUACCGGAGAGGGUGGCGGAAUUCCCGGUGUAGAGGUGAAAUUCGUAGAUAUCGGGAGGAACACCAGUGGCGAAGGCGGCCACCUGGACGGUCACUGACGCUGAGACGCGAAAGCGUGGGGAGCAAACAGG
rnacentral:rRNA from 1 species